GCCAGUGUGGUGUAGUGGUUAGAGUGAUAGGCUGCAACUCUGGAGACCAGGGUUCAAUUCACCACUUGAGCA